CUUCUCUCCUCUCCUCCCUCCUCUCCUCUCCUCUCCUCUCCUCUCUCCCCACCUCUCUCUCAUCUCCUCUCCUCUCCUCUCCUCUCUCCUCCUCUCAUCUCCUCUCCUUUCCUUUCCUUUCCUCUCCUCUCCCCUCCUCUCCCCUCCUCUCCCCUCCCCUCCCCUCCCCUCCCCUCCCCCUCCUCUCCUCUCCUCUCCUCUCCCCUGCUCUGCUCUGCUCUGCUCUCCUCUCCUCUGCUCUGACUGGUGAAUACAUGGAGGCCUGCGGGGCAUCACUGGAUGACUGAGCACCUGGGCGGGCACACAAGAACCCAACAUCAGAGCACCUGGGCGGGCACACAAGUACCCAACAUCAGAGCACCUGGGCACACAAGUACCCAACAUCAGAGCACCUGGGCACACAAGUACCCAACAUCAGAGCACCUGGGCACACAAGAACCCAACAUCAGAGCGCCUGGGCAGUGGGCUCACAAGUACCCAACAUCAGAGCACCUGGGCACACAAGUACCCAACAUCAGAGCACCUGGGCGGGCACACAAGAACCCAACAUCAGAGCACCUGGGCGGGCACACAAGAACCCAACAUCAGAGCACCUGGGCACACACGUACCCAACAUCAGAGCACCUGGGCGGGCACACAAGAACCCAACAUCAGAGCACCUGGGCGGGCACAGAGGUACCCACAGGAGUGGGGUGGGCUCCUUUUGUAUUCUCUCUGUUUUGGCCAAAUGAAGACUUUUAAACUUUUAAACUUUUAAACUUGUACUCUUUCCCAGUUUCUCCCUCUCUCCUCACCUUAUAUAUAUUCAGCUCACAGACGUAUCGAUUUCCACCGACAACAAUGAGGGGUCAAACUCCCCGCACCUCGCCGUGUGUGUGUGUGUGUGUGUGUGUGUGUGUGUAGGAAGGAGCUUAGAUCCCCGCACCUCGCCAGAUUUCCCUCCACAAACUCUGCAUGGCAUUAAGGGGUUGGUCAGGUACGGAGGAAAUGCCAUCAUGUUAAUGUUUGCUGAGCCCUUCCUAAAGUGUGUGUGUGUGUGUGUGUAAGAAGGAGCCCUUCCUAAAGUGUGUGUGUGUGUGUGUGUGUGUGUGUGUGUGUAAGAAGGAGCCCUUCUUAAAGUGUGUGUGUGUGUGUGUGUGUGUGUGUGUGUGUGUGUGUGUGUGUGUGUGUGUGUGUGUGUAUGUGUGUGUGUGUAAGAAGGAGCUUAGGCGGUCCCUAAACACUAAACUAAGAUUUGAGCCAGGUACAGGAGAG
rnacentral:lncRNA from 1 species